ensembl:lncRNA
GUUCCUCCUAGAAUGUUCUAGAACACUUCUAUCAAUGAGGUAACCUUAAGGAUUCCUCCUAGAAUGUUCUAGAACAUGUCUGUCAAUGAGGUCACCUCAAGGGAUUUCCAGAUCAAGCUAGCACCUCCUUUUAAUAUACUUCAUUAACAUCAAUUUCUUAAAACAUACAUUUUUCAAACUACCUUUACUCAAUUCUAAUCUUACUACAACCUAAUUUAUUACUCCAGUUAUAUCUUAAUAAUUCAAUAUUUGAAACAUUUCAACAUUAUAAUAUUUGACCAUUAUAACGUCUCGUUAUCAACCUCCUAAGGCCUUGUCCUCUAAGCAGAAUGAAACACAGUCUAUAUGAUUCACAACUUAAAGAAAACUACAUCAUAACUCUCCUCACCUGCAUUAUUUUAACACCUUUAAUAUCUCCCAACGUUUUCAACCUUUAACAUUUAAUAUGUUUAACCUUUAAUUAGUAUUUCAAUAAAUUCCAGUCCCAAUUCAUUUCUUCUUCUCUUUAGUCAGUGUCAAUUCAUUUCUUCUUCUCUUUAGUCAGUGUCAAUUCAUUUCUUCUUCUCUUUCGUCAGUGUCAAUUCAUUUCUUCUUCUCUUUCGUCAGUGUCAAUUCAUUUCUUCUUCUCUUUAGUCAAUGUCAAUUCAUUUCUUCUUCUCUUUCAUCAGUGUCAAUUCAUUUCUUCUUCUCUUUCGUCAGUGUCAAUUCAUUUCUUCUUCUCUUUCGUCAGUGUCAAUUCAUUUCUUCUUCUCUUUAGUCAGUGUCAAUUCAUUUCUUCUUCUCUUUAGUCAGUGUCAAUUCAUUUCUUCUUCUCUUUAUCAGUUGGGUCCUCCCUACCGGUGUCCUCUGUCACUAAAAUGUCACAGAAAACUGAGCCUCAACCAACCAUUCUUGACACAGUAAAGACCCUCAGUCUACCUCUGUACAUUACAAACAGUAAAGAACCCCAGUCUACCUCUGUACAUUACCAAACAGUAAAGACCCUCAGUCUACCUCUGUACAUUACCAAACAGUAAAGACCCUCAGUCUACCUCUGUACAUUACCAAACAGGAAAGAACCCCAGUCUACCUCUGUACAUUACCAAACAGGAAAGAACCCCAGUCUACCUCUGUACAUUAAAACAGGAAAGAAGCCCAGUCUACCUCUGUAUGUUAAAACAGUAAAGAACCCCAG